ACUAGCUGAGAGGAGGUGCAUGGCCGUCGUCAGUUCGUACUGUGAAGCAUCCUGUUGAGUCAGGCAACGAGCGAGACCCACGCCAACAGUUGCCAGCUCGUCCUCCGGGGAUGGUGGGGACACUGUUGGGACCGCCUCUGCUAAAGAGGAGGAAGGAAUGGGCAACGGUAGGUCAGCAUGCCCCGAAUUAUCUGGGCUACACGCGGGCUACAAUGGGUGGGACAAUGGGUAUCGACACCGAAAGGUGAAGGCAAUCUCCUAAACCCAUCCGUAGUUCGGAUUGUGGGCUGCAACUCGCCCACAUGAAGCUGGAAUCUGUAGUAAUCGUGUCUCAAAAUGGCACGGUGAAUAUGUCCCUGCUCCUU
rnacentral:rRNA from 1 species